AUUGAACGCUGGCGGCAGGCCUAACACAUGCAAGUCGAACGAGUGGCGGACGGGUGAGUAAUGUCUGGGAAACUGCCCGAUGGAGGGGGAUAACUACUGGAAACGGUAGCUAAUACCGCAUACCAUCGGAUGUGCCCAGAUGGGAUUAGCUAGGAGGUGGGGUAACGGCUCACCUAGGCGACGAUCCCUAGCUGGUCUGAGAGGAUGAACAGCCACACUGUAACUGAGACACGGUCUAGACUGCCACGGGAGGCAGCAGUGGGGAAUAUUGCAGCAUGGGCGCAAGCCUGAUGCCGCCAUGCCGCGUGUAUGAAGAAGGCCUUCGGGUUGUAAAGUACUUGCAGCGAGGUGGCGUUUCUCGCAGAAGAAGCACCGGCUAACUCCGUGCCAGCAGCCGCGGUAAUAA
rnacentral:rRNA from 1 species